CGGCCGCGCGGCAAAAUGCGCGAGCCCGGGCGUUCCUGACCAGCAGGCGGGCAGCGAUGCUGGCUGGAGUCCUCCGAAACCCUGGCGAGUGGCGCGGUCCGAGGGUCUAAGUGGUUUUCAGGCCGGAGGGGAGUUCUCCCAUCCCUGGGUACUCCGGAUCCUGGCUGCCAGGAGGCCUUCCUGGACAUUUUUUUCCCAGGUACCCACCUGCUCAACGAUCUUGGUAUUUCGGAGCAGCCUGGGCUCUCUGAAUCUUUCUACUGGCUUUGCCUCUGGAUGAAUGCUCCAAUGCACUGCCAUGUCUCCAACCAAGCACGUCAUUUUUAUUGUCCGUUGAGAUUCAUGUUUAAUACUGGAGCGUGCAAGCAGAGACAUGCACUUUCCCAAUCCUUUCCAAACUUUGAUCCAGGCUGACAAGUUGUUUGUACCCCAAAACAAAUGCCGAAGAUGGUAUUGUAAUUGUGCACAGAGAAACGCUGCACAGAACAUAGAAAAGAGGCCCUCAUCCCAUCCACUGAAGUUCUGAUGAGAACAUAGCAAAGGAUUUCAGUGCUGGUCACUCACCCAACCCAUCG
rnacentral:lncRNA from 1 species